rnacentral:rRNA from 1 species
GACGAACGCUGGCGGCGUGCUUAACACAUGCAAGUCGAACGGUAAGGCCCUUCGGGGUACACGAGUGGCGAACGGGUGAGUAACACGUGGGUGAUCUGCCCUGCACUUCGGGAUAAGCCUGGGAAACUGGGACUAAUACCGGAUAGGACUCCUGGCUUCAUGGUUGGGGGUGGAAAGCUUUUGUGGUGUGGGAUGGGCCCGCGGCCUAUCAGCUUGUUGGUGGGGUAAUGGCCUACCAAGGCGACGACGGGUAGCCGGCCUGAGAGGGUGACCGGCCACACUGGGACUGAGAUACGGCCCAGACUCCUACGGGAGGCAGCAGUGGGGAAUAUUGCACAAUGGGCGCAAGCCUGAUGCAGCGACGCCGCGUGAGGGAUGACGGCCUUCGGGUUGUAAACCUCUUUCAGUAGGGACGAAGCGCAAGUGACGGUACCUACAGAAGAAGGACCGGCCAACUACGUGCCAGCAGCCGCCGUAA